UGGGGAAUAUUGCACAAUGGGCGCAAGCCUGAUGCAGCCAUGCCGCGUGUAUGAAGAAGGCCUUCGGGUUGUAAAGUACUUUCAGCGGGGAGGAAGGCGAUAAGGUUAAUAACCUUGUCGAUUGACGUUACCCGCAGAAGAAGCACCGGCUAACUCCGUGCCAGCAGCCGCGGUAAUACGGAGGGUGCAAGCGUUAAUCGGAAUUACUGGGCGUAAAGCGCACGCAGGCGGUCUGUCAAGUCGGAUGUGAAAUCCCCGGGCUCAACCUGGGAACUGCAUUCGAAACUGGCAGGCUAGAGUCUUGUAGAGGGGGGUAGAAUUCCAGGUGUAGCGGU
rnacentral:rRNA from 1 species